UAGGGAAUCUUCCACAAUGGACGCAAGUCUGAUGGAGCAACGCCGCGUGAGUGAAGAAGGUUUUCUGAUCGUAAAGCUCUGUUGUUGGUGGAGAAGGAUAGAGGACGUAACUGGUCUUUAUUUGACGGUAAUCAACCAGAAAGUCACGGAUAACUACGUGCCAGCAGCCGCGGUAAUACGUAGUUGGCAAGCGUUGACUGGAUUUAUUGGGCGGAAAGCGAGCGCAGGCGGAAUGAUAAGUCUGAGGUGAAAGCCAACAGCUCAACCGUGGAACUGCAUCGGAAACUGUCAGUCGUGAGUGCAGAAGAGGAGAGUGGAAUUCCAGGUGUAGCGGUGGAAUGCGUAGAUAUAUGGAAGAACACCAGUGGCGAAGGCGGCUCUCUGGUCUGCAACUGACGCUGAGGCUCGAAGGCAUGGGUAGCGAACAGG
rnacentral:rRNA from 1 species